AACGAACGCUGGCGGCGUGCCUAACACAUGCAAGUCGAACGGAUUUGAGGGGCUUGCUCCUCAAAUUAGUGGCGCACGGGUGAGUAACGCGUGGAUAAUCUGCCUGAUACUCUGGGAUAACAUCUCGAAAGGGGUGCUAAUACCGGAUAAGCCCACGGGCUCUUCGGAGCUUGCGGGAAAAGGAGGGGACCUUCGGGCCUUCCGAUAUCAGAUGAGUCCGCGUCCCAUUAGCUAGUUGGCAGGGUAAAGGCCUACCAAGGCGACGAUGGGUAGCUGGUCUGAGAGGAUGAUCAGCCACACUGGAACUGAGACACGGUCCAGACUCCUACGGGUGGCUG
rnacentral:rRNA from 1 species